CGGCGUAGCUCAGUUGGUAGAGCAGUUGAUUUGUAAUCAUCAGGUCGCAGGUUCGACUCCUGUCGCCG
rnacentral:tRNA from 1 species